GUCUCUGUAGAUCAGCGGUUGAUCACCUCACUUAAAUAGUAUUUGUAUACUUCGCUUAUUGAGGAGAUGUGGGUUCGAAUCCCACCGGAGGUA